GAGGAGAAAGAGAAGGUUCUUUUCUUUGUGUUGCUCCUGUGAGUCACUCUUGAGUUUGGAUGUGGUGAGGAAUGAAGGACAAAGCCCAAGGAGGAGCAGUGUUGAGUAUUUUGAGAUUCAGAACAUCUUAAAAUGAGAGACCCUAGAGAGUGGGACAUCAGGCUUCUGCACUAGAACUUUCCUUGUGGUAACGAGGGAAGACUGGUGACCACCCAGCGCGGAAGCUGCAGCAGGUUUAAAAAUGGAUGAUGUUGAGAAAGGCAAGA